rnacentral:rRNA from 1 species
CAGUCGUACUUGCGGAUAAUCAACCUUUAGAUGCGAUUUUGUGGAGCGUCAAGAGUUAAACGCCUUCAUGCCUGCAUAUUCGUAUACUUUGGGUGUACUUAUUCGUGUGGUAAGUUAACAUCAAUUUUGGUGAUCAUAAAAUGACUAGAGGAAUGUAGCUUCGAUCUCGUAUUGAAGUGUUAUAGCCUUUGGUAGAUGCGGUGACCGAAACUGAGGAUUGCAACGAUACCCUCUGGGCUAUCCGUCUGACCUCUGAAACGUUGCUUAGGUACCGAAAGCGUGCUUACGGUCA